AUACGGAGGAUCCGAGCGUUAUCCGGAUUUAUUGGGUUUAAAGGGAGCGUAGGCGGACUAUUAAGUCAGCUGUGAAAGUUUGCGGCUCAACCGUAAAAUUGCAGUUGAUACUGGUCGUCUUGAGUGCAGUAGAGGUAGGCGGAAUUCGUGGUGUAGAGGUGAAAUGCUUAGAUAUCACGAAGAACUCCGAUUGCGAAGGCAGCUUACUGGACUGUAACUGACGCUGAUGCUCGAAAGUGUGGGUAUCAAACAGGAUUAGAUACCCUGGUAGUCCACACAGUAAACGAUGAAUACUCGCUGUUUGCGAUAUACGGCAAGCGGCCAAGCGAAAGCAUUAAGUAUUCCACCUGGGGAGUACGCCGGCAACGGUGAAACUCAAAUGAAUUGGCGGGG
rnacentral:rRNA from 1 species